GCCUGUUCCUGUUCAUGUACCUGAUGAGGUCAGUCAUCCUGUCCCUGAACCGCUCGGUCUUCGAUCCCUUCACGAUGAGCGCCGUCAUGUUGCCGAUCAGGUACGCGCUGAGGAGGAUGCUGAACGAGAUGUACACCACGGUGAACGCCAUCUCCCUCGUGUUCACCGCAUGGAUGUCACCAUAACCUGCCAAAAAAAAUAGAGAAAAAAUCUCAUUUUGAUUCAUGUGCAGGGUGAUCAAGAGCUGGAGUCUUGCGGGUCAUGAGAGGGGAAAAGAUAUCAUUUUGAUUCAUGUGCAGGAUUGCAGGGUGAUUGAGAACUCUAGAAAAGAAAAAUGAACGAAACAACUAAAAAUAAUUUAUGGAUAAAACUUAUUUACUUGUACUGUUAGAUAUGAAUGAAAACCACCAAAAUCAACGCUGAAGUUGAUGAGCCAAUAUAAGCAGACUUUUUUUUUUCUUGAAGUUGACAUAC
rnacentral:lncRNA from 1 species